rnacentral:rRNA from 1 species
CCUACGGGGGGCUGCAGUGGGGAAUAUUGGACAAUGGGGGCAACCCUGAUCCAGCCAUGCCGCGUGUGUGAAGAAGGCCCUCGGGUUGUAAAGCACUUUCAGUGAGGAAGAACGCCUGGUGGUUAAUACCCAUCAGGAAAGACAUCACUCACAGAAGAAGCACCGGCUAACUCCGUGCCAGCAGCCGCGGUAAUACGGAGGGUGCGAGCGUUAAUCGGAAUUACUGGGCGUAAAGCGCGCGUAGGUGGCUUGAUAAGCUGGUUGUGAAAGCCCCGGGCUCAACCUGGGAACGGCAUCCGGAACUGUCAAGCUAGAGUGCAGGAGAGGAAGGUAGAAUUCCCGGUGUAGCGGUGAAAUGCGUAGAGAUCGGGAGGAAUACCAGUGGCGAAGGCGGCCUUCUGGACUGACACUGACACUGAGGUGCGAAAGCGUGGGUAGCAAACAGGAUUAGAUACCCUGGUAGUC